rnacentral:rRNA from 1 species
GACGAACGCUGGCGGCGUGCUUAACACAUGCAAGUCGAACGGAAAGGCCCUGCUUUUGUGGGGUGCUCGAGUGGCGAACGGGUGAGUAACACGUGAGUAACCUGCCCUUGACUUUGGGAUAACUUCAGGAAACUGGGGCUAAUACCGGAUAGGAGCUCCUGCUGCAUGGUGGGGGUUGGAAAGUUUCGGCGGUUGGGGAUGGACUCGCGGCUUAUCAGCUUGUUGGUGGGGUAGUGGCUUACCAAGGCUUUGACGGGUAGCCGGCCUGAGAGGGUGACCGGCCACAUUGGGACUGAGAUACGGCCCAGACUCCUACGGGAGGCAGCAGUGGGGAAUAUUGCACAAUGGGCGGAAGCCUGAUGCAGCAACGCCGCGUGCGGGAUGACGGCCUUCGGGUUGUAAACCGCUUUCGCCUGUGACGAAGCGUGAGUGACGGUAAUGGGUAAAGAAGCACCGGCUAACUACGUGCCAGCAGCCGCGGUGAUACGUAGGGUGCGAGCGUUGUCCGGAUUUAUUGGGCGUAAAGGGCUCGUAGGUGGUUGAUCGCGUCGGAAGUGUAAUCUUGGGGCUUAACCCCUGAGCGUGCUUUCGAUACGGGUUGACUUGAGGAAGGUAGGGGAGAAUGGAAUUCCUGGUGGAGCGGUGGAAUGCGCAGAUAUCAGGAGGAACACCAGUGGCGAAGGCGGUUCUCUGGGCCUUUCCUGACGCUGAGGAGCGAAAGCGUGGGGAGCGAACAGGCUUAGAUACCCUGGUAGUCCACGCUGUAAACGGUGGGUACUAGGUGUGGGGUCCAUUCCACGGGUUCCGUGCCGUAGCUAACGCUUUAAGUACCCCGCCUGGGGAGUACGGCCGCAAGGCUAAAACUCAAAGGAAUUGACGGGGCCCCGCACAAGCGGCGGAGCAUGCGGAUUAAUUCGAUGCAACGCGUAGAACCUUACCUGGGUUUGACAUGGAUCGGGAGUGCUCAGAGAUGGGUGUGCCUCUUUUGGGGUCGGUUCACAGGUGGUGCAUGCCUGUCGUCAGCUCGUGUCGUGAGAUGUUGGGUUAAGUCCCGCAACGAGCGCAACCCUUGUUCACUGUUGCCAGCACGUUAUGGUGGGGACUCAGUGGAGACCGCCGAGGUCAACUCGGAGGAAGGUGGGGAUGACGUCAAGUCAUCAUGCCCCUUAUGUCCAGGGCUUCACGCAUGCUACAAUGGCUGGUACAGAGAGUGGCGAGCCUGUGAGGGUGAGCGAAUCUCGGAAAGCCGGUCUCAGUUCGGAUUGGGGUCUGCAACUCGACCUCAUGAAGUCGGAGUCGCUAGUAAUCGCAGAUCAGCAACGCUGCGGUGAAUACGUUCCCGGG